AAUACUCUCACAGUCCUCAGCUGUAUUACCUGUAGUUCUAAAAUUAUCAAAAAAGAAAGGGUUUUACUUUAUGAUUUUUUUGGUCAAAAUUAGAAGAUCACAUCGUUGAUUUUUAUUGUAUUUUUAAUUGAGAACCUGCAAUCAUCCCUACACAUUUUAUGAGGAACUAAGACCAAGAGCACUUAAAUAACCUGUCCAAGGGAAUAUUGUUAUGAUGCAUUGAAGAGACCAGUAUCCAUUCCACAGUGAAAAGCCUGGGUUUGCAAGCAUGAAGAUAACCAAGGCAUCUGAUGGGACUGUCACCCGAUAACACCUGCUAUGCUUAAGUAACUUUCCAAUUAUGUGACCCUAUUCAAAAUUAUGAUGAGGGACCUGAAUGAAAUUUUCUUCAGCUAUCUCUCCACUUCCAAGUAGAAGUUAUAAUCUUUGAAUGAACCAUAAAAUGAAUCUUUUGGUAAGACAAACAUUGAGGCCUCUCUUUUUGAAAGAUACUGAGCUUUAGAAAAUACAAA